UACGUAGGGUGCGAGCGUUGUCCGGAAUUAUUGGGCGUAAAGGGCUCGUAGGCGGCUUGGCACGUCGGAUGUGAAAGCUCGGGGCUUAACCCCGAGUCUGCAUUCGAUACGGGCUAGCUAGAGUGUGGUAGGGGAGAUCGGAAUUCCUGGUGUAGCGGUGAAAUGCGCAGAUAUCAGGAGGAACGCCGGUGGCGAAGGCGGAUCUCUGGGCCAUUACUGACGCUGAGGAGCGAAAGCGUGGGGAGCGAACAGG
rnacentral:rRNA from 1 species